ensembl:lncRNA
GUUCCUCUGCUUUACUUAUUGUUCUUCCAUGCCAUUUGUAUUGUUUAUAGUUAUGACCAUUGCUUUUGUUCUCCUGACUCCUGUUUCUGGAUGACUGUUUUGGAUUUGUCUGCAAUUGGCUUGUUUUCUCCAUAUUUUAACUCAAGCCAGUGACCUGACUUGGAGCUAUGAUUGUUAUUAGUACUUGGAGCACAGAUCAUUGGGCAGCUGUGGCCUAAUGGUUAGAGAGCCGGACUAGUUACCAGAAGGUCGCCGGUUUGAGUCUCGGUGCUGGCAGGAGUUGUAAGUGGGAGGGAGUUAAUGAACAGCGCUCUCUUCCACCCUCAAUACCCAUGGCUGAAGUGCCCUUGAGCAAGGCACUGAACCCCCAGUUGCUCCCCGGUGCUGGAUCUAUAGCUGCCCACUGCUCCGGGUGUGUGUUCACAGUGUGUUCACUUCUCACUGCUGUGUGUGUGCACUUAGAUGGGUUAAAUGCAGAGCAUCAAUUCUGAGUAUGGGUAACCAUACUUGGCAAAUGUCAUGACUUUCACUUUUUUUUUCUUCAUUGAAUAAAGACCCGCAUAUGGAAUUUAUUAGGCCUACCUAUUUCUCACAUUCUUUUAAACAUUUCCUUGUUUGUACAUUCUGUACUCAUUAAAGUCUGAUAAGAUUGUUUAGAUGUUAUAAUUUUGACUGAUAGCUUGAUGAUUUUCACAGCGUUAAGACAGGAAGUGGAAACACGUUGUGGUUUAAUGUCUCUGCACUGAAAGGCAAUCUGCAGUUUGAUCGAUGCUUUUACAGACGAAAGACAAUGGAGAAGAUCAUGCUCUUUUGUGUUUUUUCAUACAGGAUUAUUCAGAUCAGCUCCAGUGACAAGCUGACAGACAGAGAAGACAAAGUUCAGUCCGUUACAGAUCCUUCAGUGGAUGAUAAGAUCCCAGAUGCUUCAGAACAUAAUGUGACUCUGUUAAGAUUUCAGCUGAAUGAAACCAUCACUCUGAACUGCAACAUGACCCACACAUACGAAAUAGCCUGGUAUCACCAGAAUCCUGAAUCUGGACGACUAACACUGCUGAUAUUUGCUAUAGGCAGGAGAAAAGAGAUAUAUUUAAUCAAUCAAAACACUCGCGUAACAGUUAAAGCAGAUAUAAGGAGCAACACAGUCUCGCUAGUUAUUACUGGACUAAUGGAGUCAGAUUCAGGUCUUUAUUUCUGUGGAACAAGAUCAGUGAAUUCAGAAAUGUACUUUGAGAAACCCAUCAGACUACAGAUCGAGGACAAGCUGACAGACAGAGAGGACAAAGUUCAUUCUGAUUUUGAGGAACAGAAAUAACAGAAAUGAACAGAAAUGAAGUUGGGAACAGAAAUAAUUCUCUUGUCUCAUUUUAUUUCAGGAAAUCUUCAAGUUCAUUAGUGUAUAUGUUAUAAGUUAUUUAGAUUUUAAUAAUCUAAAGAACCUUUUGUCCAAUAGAAAGAUUCUGUGGAUAUUAAAGAUUCUUCACAGAACUAUCAAAUCCAAGUAAAAACUUUUUUUAAGAGUGUAACUGUUUAUGUUACUGAAUUACAAAGCUCUAGAGGAGUUCAUGAGAAAGUACAAAUGUCAUCUGUUUUUUUAAUCAGCAGUAAAACUGAGAAAUCAUGUCACAGUCAUAUUUGUGAUGGACAAAUUAUAUAAAUUCUUUCUAAAUGUGAUGUAGACCAACAGUAAAAAAUACUGUCUGUCACUAUAAAUAAACAGAAACAGGCGUGAAUGAAUAAGUGUGUG